AUGGAGAGUUUGGCGGCACUCGGCAGAUUUAUCUUCCAUCAUCAUCAAAUCUGGCAUCAAACCAACGAAAGAGGGUUGCAGUACUGCAGGGGCUGUCAUGGUUCCAUCGCAACCAUAAAUCCAUCACAAUUCAUAAAGAUCUGUGAGCACACAGGUUCCGAAGAAGUGAUCGGGGGCAUGACUCUAGGAAUCAUCACAGCGGUGGAAGAUGUGACAGACCCCAUUCCAUGCGACUCUAAUGAUGUGGCCCUUGUUAUAGAGGAAGCAGUUGUUCUGCGAGGACUUGGUGACAUACCAAAUGCGUAUGUGAACAUGAUGGGAUUGCUUUAUGCUCUUAACAUAAACUACCCAAAAAACCUCAAAUACACUUUUGAGGUAAUUCGGCGGCUGCUGAUGAACAUUGGAGCGGAUACGUGCAGGGCAAGAGUGCACUCCCUUAAAAAUACAUUGUUAAAGAUGUUGUUGAGGUAAGGUGUUGUGUAUUACUACCAAAGGCCUGUGUUUGUUGAAUAUUUUACAGUUUUUCUUUUCUAAGUUCUCUGCAUCGAUGGCCUGACAUCUAUUUUCAACAAGAUUUCAUGUGUUUUAAAGUUAUUUCAGAAUUUAAGGGGUAUUAUUAAUGUGAAAAGUCUUAGUGUUAGUUUACCCAAAAUGAAUAUUCUUUUGUUAGAUAAUCAACCUUAUGUUGCUCUAAACCUAAAAGACCUUUGUUUGUCUUUUGAACACACAUCAAGAUAUUUUUAAUCAAAUCUGCGAGCUUUCUGUACCUCCUUUGACAGCCUACGCAACUAGCACUUUCAAGGUCCAGAAAGGAAGUAAAAGACAUUCUUAGAGUAAUCCAAGUGACUACAGUGGUUUAUAUAUUUGUUUACAUGCAACAGUAUCUGCUUUUGAGUUCAAACAAGAAGCAUGUGCUGUCAUGUUCUUGUAAACAUGCGAUGGUGAAAACUAUUUAAUAAAUAAAAUGGUAUGAAACA
ensembl:lncRNA